GACGAACGCUGGUUGCGCUGCUUAACACAUGAAAGUCGAACGGAAAGGCCCUGCUUUUGUGGGGUGCUCGAGUGGCACAACGGGUGAGAUAACACGAGAGUAACCUGCCCUUGACUUUGGGAUAACUUCAAGAAACUGGGGCUAAUACCGGAUAGGAGCUCCUGCUGCAUGGUGGGGGUUGGAAAGUUUCGGCGGAUGGGGAUGGACUCUCCGCUUAUCAUCUUGUUGGUGGGGUAGUGGCUUACCAAGGCUUUGACAGGUAGCCGGCCUGAUAGGGUGACCGGCCACAUUGGAACUGAGAUACCGCCCAGACUCCUACGGGAAGCAGCACUGGGGAAUAUUGCACAAUGGGCGGAAGCCUGAUGCAGCAACGCCGCGUGCGGGAUGACGGCCUUCGGGUUGUAAACCGCUUUCGCCUGUGACGAAGCGUGAGUGACGGUAAUGGGUAAAGAAGCACCGGCUAACUACGUGCCAGCAGCCGCGCUGAUACGUAGGGUGCGAGCGUUGUCCGGAUUUAUUGGGCGUAAAGGGCUAGUAGGUGGUUGAUCGCGUCGGAAGUGUAAUCUUGGGGCUUAAGCCCUGAGCGUGCUUUCGAUACUGGUUGACUUGAGGAAGGUAGGGGAGAAUGGAAUUCCUGGUGGAGCGGUGGAAUGCGCAGAUAUCAGGAGGAACACCAGUGGCGAAGGCGGUUCUCUGGGCCUUUCCUGACGUUGAGGAGCGAAAGCGUGGGGAGCGAACAGGCUUAGAUACCCUGGUAGUCCACGCUGUAAACGGUGGGUACUAGGUGUGGGGUCCAUUCCACGGGUUCCGUGCCGUAGCUAACGCUUUAAGUACCCCGCCUGGGGAGUACGGCCGCAAGGCUAAAACUCAAAGGAAUUGACGGGGCCCCGCACAAGCGGCGGAGCAUGCGGAUUAAUUGGAUGCAACGCGUAGAACCUUACCGGGGUUUGACAUGGAUCGGGAGCGUUCUAGAGACUGGGUGUGCCUCUCUUGGGGUCGGUUCACAGGUGGUGCAUGGCUGUCGUCAGCUCGUGUCGUGAGAUGUUGGGUUAAGUCCUGCAACGAGCGCAACCCUAUGUUCACUGUCGCCAGCACGUUAUGUUGGGGACUCAGUGGAGACCGCCGGGGUCAACUCGGAGGAAGGUGGGGAGGCCGUCAAGUCAUCAUGCCCCUUAUGUUCAGGGCUUCACGCAUGCUACAAUGGAUGGUACAGAGAGUGGCGAGCCUGUGAGGGUGAGCGAAUCUAGGAAAGCCGGUCUCAGUUCGGAUGGGGGUGUGCAACUCGACCUCAUGAAGUAGGAGUCGAUAGUAAUCGCAGAUCAGCAACGGUGCGGUGAAUACGUUCCCGGGGC
rnacentral:rRNA from 1 species